AUUCGCAGCAUAUUGAUGAUGAUGAUGAUGUGGGCAAAAGCCCCGGGGAAGAUAAUGAUGAUCAUUUCUAUGGUCAUGUAAAUCCAGAUAUACAAAAUGUGGACGCAGAUGAGAAGGAAACUGGAAUUUAAUGUUGUAUCCAUACAUAGUUAAUCUGCAAAAAUCUAUAAUGACUUAGUAUUUUUGACUAUGAGGACUGGACUAGACUGGACAAGAGCAUUUUUCGAGCAAUUUUUAUGAUUUUUUGAGCAACUUUUUUCGAAAUUUUGAUCAGGUUGGAAAUCUCUGGAGGAGAGAGACUAGAUGUGUGAUGUGGAAACUUUUAAAAACACAACAAUAUUAAUAGUUUAUUCGUGUAAAUGCAUGGAAAAUACGUUUUUAUAAAUAUAUAUAUACAGUAUUUAAUUUAAGGCCUCUGAUUUAAGGCAUUGUAGUAAUUUUACCAAUUUAAGGAAUUUAAAGGGAAUCUGAAAUCGAAAAUUUGAUUGUGAGAACAGUUGUCUAGAGAUACAAACAUAUCAAUUAAAAACCUUGGCAAGAUUUUAAAAUAUUUUCUGUUUGUUCAAAUACAAAAGGACCACAGUCCAUAUGAAACGUCAUGCCGAGUUACUGCAAAUGUUAAAUUGAAUUGGCUUCGCUACACUGAUUCAUUUCGUCUUCCUCUUUGAUAGCGUGAAAUGCUUGCAUCUUGUGUCAAACAGUUCGAAGUCGGUUUCGUCGAUUAAAGAAGAUGUUUCCAAAAUGUUUUCAUUUUG